rnacentral:rRNA from 1 species
UACGUAGGGGGCAAGCGUUGUCCGGAAUCAUUGGGCGUAAAGAGCGUGUAGGCGGCCCGAUAAGUCCGCUGUGAAAGUCCAGGGCUCAACCCUGGAAUGCCGGUGGAUACUGUCGGGCUCGAGUUCGGAAGAGGUGAGUGGAAUGCCUGGUGUAGUGGUGAAAUGCGUAGAGAUCAGGCGGAACACCCGUGGCGAAGGCGGCCAGCUGGGUCGUCCCUGACGCUGAGGCGCGAAGGCGUGGGGAGCGAACGGG